CGGGGGGAGCAAGCAUUGUUCGGAUUUACUGGGCGUAAAGGGCGCGUAGGCGGCGCAACAAGUCACUUGUGAAAUCUCCGGGCUUAACCCGGAGCGGCCAAGUGAUACUGUCGUGCUAGAGUGCGGAAGGGGCUACUGGAAUUCUCGGUGUAGCGGUGAAAUGCGUAGAUAUCGAGAGGAACACCUGCGGCGAAGGCGGGUAGCUGGGCCGACACUGACGCUGAGGCGCGAAAGCCAGGGGAGCGAACGGGAUUAGAUACCCCGGUAGUCCUGGCCUUAAACGAUGGAUACUUGGUGUCCGGGGUUACAUAGUCCCCGGGUGCCGGCGCUAACGCAUUAAGUAUCCCGCCUGGGGAGUACGGUCGCAAGACUG
rnacentral:rRNA from 1 species